GGUCGGGCCCGGUGCACGGGUGGUCCCAUGAACCGGGUCAGGCCUUGACCGGAGCAGCCCUAAGUGGCGUUUGCCCGGUGCCGUCGGUGUCCUGACCGUC
rnacentral:SRP_RNA from 1 species